GACGAACGCUUGCGGCGUGCUUAACACAUGCAAGUCGAACGGAAAGGCCCUGCUUUUGUGGGGUGCUCGAGUGGCGAACGGGUGAGUAACACGUGAGUAACCUGCCCUUGACUUUGGGAUAACUUCAGGAAACUGGGGCUAAUACCGGAUAGGAGCUCCUGCUGCAUGGUGGGGGUUGGAAAGUUUCGGCGGUUGGGGAUGGACUCGCGGCUUAUCAGCUUGUUGGUGGGGUAGUGGCUUACCAAGGCUUUGACGGGUAGCCGGCCUGAGAGGGUGACCGGCCACAUUGGGACUGAGAUACGGCCCAGACUCCUACGGGGGGCAGCAGUGGGGAAUAUUGCACAAUGGGCGGAAGCCUGAUGCAGCAACGCCGCGUGCGGGAUGACGGCCUUCGGGUUGUAAACCGCUUUCGCCUGUGACGAAGCGUGAGUGACGGUAAUGGGUAAAGAAGCACCGGCUAACUACGUGCCAGCAGCCGCGGUGAUACGUAGGGUGCGAGCGUUGUCCGGAUUUAUUGGGCGUAAAGGGCUCGUAGGUGGUUGAUCGCGUCGGAAGUGUAAUCUUGGGGCUUAACCCUGAGCGUGCUUUCGAUACGGGUUGACUUGAGGAAGGUAGGGGAGAAUGGAAUUCCUGGUGGAGCGGUGGAAUGCGCAGAUAUCAGGAGGAACACCAGUGGCGAAGGCGGUUCUCUAGGCCUUUCCUGACGCUGAGGAGCGAAAGCGUGGGGAGCGAACAGGCUUAGAUACCCUGGUAGUCCACGCUGUAAACGGUGGGUACUAGGUGUGGGGUCCAUUCCACGGGUUCCGUGCCGUAGCUAACGCUUUAAGUACCCCGCCUGGGGAGUACGGCCGCAAGGCUAAAACUCAAAGGAAUUGACGGGGCCCCGCACAAGCGGCGGAGCAUGCGGAUUAAUUCGAUGCAACGCGUAGAACCUUACCUGGGUUUGACAUGGAUCGGGAGUGCUCAGAGAUGGGUGUGCCUCUUUUGGGGUCGGUUCACAGGUGGUGCAUGGCUGUCGUCAGCUCGUGUCGUGAGAUGUUGGGUUAAGUCCCGCAACGAGCGCAACCCUUGUUCACUGUUGCCAGCACGUUAUGGUGGGGACUCAGUGGAGACCGCCGGGGUCAACUCGGAGGAAGGUGGGGAUGACGUCAAGUCAUCAUGCCCCUUAUGUCCAGGGCUUCACGCAUGCUACAAUGGCUGGUACAGAGAGUGGCGAGCCUGUGAGGGUGAGCGAAUCUCGGAAAGCCGGUCUCAGUUCGGAUUGGGGUCUGCAACUCGACCUCAUGAAGUCGGAGUCGCUAGUAAUCGCAGAUCAGCAACGCUGCGGUGAAUACGUUCCCGGG
rnacentral:rRNA from 1 species